rnacentral:rRNA from 1 species
AUUGAACGCUGGCGGUAGGCCUAACACAUGCAAGUCGAACGGUAACAGGAUGAAGCUUGCUUCUUUGCUGACGCGUGUCGGACGGGUGUGUAAUGUCUGGCAAACUGUCUGUUGGCGGGGGAUAUCUCCUGGAAACGCUAGCUCAUACCGCAUAUUGUCGCUAGACCAAAGAGGGGGACCUUCUGGCAUCUUGCCCUCGUAUGUGCCCAGAUGGGAUUAGCUAGUAGGUGGGGUAACGGCUCACCUAGGCGACGAUCCCUAGCUGGUCUGAGAGGAUGACCAGCCACACUGGAACUGAGACACGGUCCAGACUCCUACGGGAGGCAGCAGUGGGGAAUAUUGGACAAUGGGCGCAAGCCUGAUGCAGCUAUGCCGCGUGUAUGAAGAAGGCCUUCGGGUUGUAAAGUACUUUCAGCGGGGAGGAAGAGAGGAAAGUUAAUACCUUGGCGCAUUGACGGUACCCGAAGAAGAAGCACCGGCUAACUCCGUG